GCCAUCAACUGAAGGCAGAUAGAGCAGGUGGCCUGCUCCCACAUCUUCUUGCUGGUGGUGGCCGACGCCAUGCCUCUGCCGAAUCCUGCAAUGCCGGACCCAGAGGCUCCCCACAGCAGAGGCGGAGCCCUGACCA